UCUACGGGAGGCAGCAGUGAGGAAUAUUGGUCAAUGGACGAGAGUCUGAACCAGCCAAGUAGCGUGAAGGAUGACUGCCCUAUGGGUUGUAAACUUCUUUUAUAAAGGAAUAAAACGAGGCACGUGUGCCCUUUUGCAUGGACUUUAUGAAUAAGGACUGGCCAACCCCGUGCCAUGAGCCGCGGUAAUACGGAGGAUCUGAGCGUUAUCCGGAUUUAUUGGGUUUAAAGGGAGCGUAGAUGGGUUGUUAAGUCAGUUGUGAAAGUUUGCGGCUCAACCGUAAAAUUGCAAUUGAUACUGGCAGUCUUGAGUGCAGUUGAGGUAGGCGGAAUGCGUGGUGUAGCGGUGAAAUGCUUAGAUAUCACGAAGAACCCCGAUUGCGAAGGCAGCUUACUAAACUGUGACUGACAUUGAUGCUCGAAAGUGUGGGUAUCAAACAGGAUUAGAUACCCCGGUAGUC
rnacentral:rRNA from 1 species